UGUGUCCCUGUCCCUGUGUGUCUGUGUCCCUGUCUCUGUGUCCCUGUCUCUGUGUCUCUGUGUCUGUGUCCCUGUCUCUGUCUCUGUGUCCCUGUGUGUCUGUGUCUGUGUCUGUGGUUGACCAGGCCUCUCUGCUGUGUAUUUGCACUGAGUAGAUUCACUCUGUUCACAGGUAUGUGCCACUGCUGAGGUUACUUUUUCAUUUGCUUUGUGUAUAUGCACACAACAUUUUAUGUUUAAUAUUUUUGUAGUUUUAUUUUUAAUAUUGUUUUAUGUUUUGAUAUACAGUAUGAUUUGUAGAUUAUUAACCAGUAAUGAGAGUAAUAAUUUAUGGUUUAUCAUUUGGACAGUUCUAGUUAUGUAAAAUUGUGUAGUUAUAUGCAAGUUGUCAAACACUUGCAGUUGUUACCUGUGUGAAGGGGAGAGGGGGUGGUAUUUUACUGAGCUGUAGAUGGGGAUUGGGGUGUAAAUAUUGUAAAAUGUCCGACAAAGCAAUCAUAAAGCACUUGUUUACGGGCCACUGGUAGUGUGCUGUUAGCGCUAUGCUAGCGCACUGCGGAUGGACGCGACAGCGCUAAAGGAAGUUAGCGCUAAAGGAUGUUAGCCAUGGUGAUUAGCUGCUUAAAGAAGGCAGGAGAGAGGCUGCCACUCACAGACUGAUGCAGGGACCGUGUGUAAGGGACAGAUGGAAACAGACAGUUUGCUGGACUGCAUCUGAAAUGGUUUCAUAAACAGCUUGCAUUGAUAAAAGCUUUGUUUAUUUUGUAUAAUGUCCACUAGGACCCCCAUAAACAGUGAAGUAAGACCCAGACCAUCACUACUGCAGCUGCAGAAACAGGCCCUAAUUAAGACAUCCCAAUAAUAAUAAUAAACUGAAUAAUAAGUGUUAUUACACAUGUUGUAGUGUUGCGAAGCACUGGGAGGGCUCUGCCACUCGUUCACCCUCCUGUCGAAUCUCCCCCUCCACCGUAAGAGGCUUCUGUGGGAGAAUUUAAGAUCUGCGAUUAAGAGCGCUGAAGAUCAGCCAGGGAUGUAGUCGUAAAUCAUUUCCAUGUUAAGCACUAUUAGCGUUUUCAUAUUGGCAUCUAUGUUGAAAGAUUGAUGGUGAUAUUGACAUUACAGUCUUGAUGGUGAUAUGGAUAUCAGGAUCUGGACGUUGGGCUAUUGAUGGUGGUAUUGAUAUUUGGGCAUUGCAUUGUGGGUACUCCUCCAUUUACACUCCUUCAUGUGUGGGUUUCUUUGCUGUUGCAAAGCAACUAAGAACAUUUAUUUUCAUUUUUAUGAAACAGAAUACAAUAUUUUGUUUCUUGUAUUUACACAGCACAAUAUCAGUUUUCAGUCUGCACCUGUAUCAUGUUUUAAAAGAGGAUUGAGUGUUGUCUUGUGUUCUAAAAGAGGUUUGAAUGUUUGUCUUGUAUUCUAAAAGAGGUUUGAGUGUUUGUCUUGUGUUCUAAAAGAGGUUUGAGUGUUUGUCUUGUGUUCUAAAAGAGGUUUGAGUGGCUGCUGCAGAAUGAUGUGGGUAAUGUGACCUGGGCUUUUUAAGUUUAUUUUAAACCUGGCCAAAUUUUGGGACAAAUACUGAUUGACUCCUGGUCUAAGGCCCCGGGUUUAACAUGGUGACCUGGAUUAUCCAGUCUUAUGGGACAGUUAAUGUACAGUAUAUUAUGUUUGUUAUUUUAUGUGACAGGACAUUUAAAGUUGUGGUAGACUUUCUGAUGCUGUAGCAUUUUUAAAAGACACACUCGGGUCAGUUUGCUCUCAAGGCCUUACAUUGUUCUAUUAUUUUCAUUCACCUUACAGUUCACUAAAUCACACUAAAUGUCACAAUUUUUUUUGUAUCAUUUUUUUGUAAAGGUAAAUUCUCUGAGUGAAUAUUGAAGGUGUAGUAAACUAGUUACAUUGAAGGUGUAUAAACUGUAGUUAUACAGCAUCCUCCAGCAGUGCUAAUGCAGCGUACAAAUGGAGCUUGUACAUUGUAGCUUUUGUCCGUUUUUAAUAAAUCUGUGUACAGUGCCAUAAUCUGCAUAAAUCAUACCAUUUUUUAACACCAAGGUGUAAAGAAGAACAUUUGAUUUCAUUUUUUAGUUACUUGAAAAAUCUGUUUAAGAUGUUGAUUUGGUUAACAAAAAGGUUGUUUAUAAUGUGAAAGUCCUGUGCCUUGUUUGCUGUUGAAUGUGUGAAAUGCAUCGUAGUGUAAAAUGCCAUGGCGUAAUAUUAUUUUGUUUCCUGUGUUCACACUACUGACUAUUGCUUGAGAUAGAUUGUGAGAGAGAUCUCAUAAUGCCACAAAUUCUGUGUCUCUUUUAAAGUACUGUUAUGUCAUUGGUAACAUUGUCCAUCAAUCUGUAUGUACGUAUGUAUUUGCACACAAAUUGUGUUGUCAAAUGUGUAAUGAUAUGAUUGGAAAAAAUACUGACCUGACAAUUUAUGAGUUGAAAAGGAAGAUGUUUAAUAUAAAUGUUGCUCUUGUAAGUUGCAAUUAGAUUUUUUCUGUGGUCGCUGUCUUACUGUGUAGCUGUCACGAUGUGAUCCAUGCAGAAAAUCUUCAUGGAUCUUGUUUUGAAAAAGCAUUUUUCAUAGACGGAGAUGAAAGGAUUCUAUGCAAUAGUGUGGCAUGAUGACUUCCAUGUGUACAUUUCUGUUCUUUAAUCUCAGCCUCGUGUGAAAUGCUAAUAAAUAAUAUCAUUAACACA